AGUCUUUGUAAAAGUGACGUGAAGAGAUUUUCAUGUUGGAAAGAUGACUAACUGCAUCGUAGAAUUAAUGUGAAAGGGUGGCCCAAGGAAGCAAGUUUCUUCACAGCUAUUGCAAUAAACAGGGUCUACUGGAGACCUUGGCUUUUUAUUUCCCUGACACAACUUCACACUGCUGGAGCAAUGCUUGGAUUGCUCUGGAAACACUGGCAAAUCUCAAGAUGCAGUUCAGGCUUCUCCAUGAUGAGUGUGAGUCCCUAGGCUGUCUCUCAAACUAAAGAUUCCCCAGCCAGGCAACUCUAAAGAGUCUUCGACAAGGCAACACAAUUACUCUGUGUGCUUAGAAGAAGAGGGGUCAUAAAUGUCAGCUGUUGCUCUUUGAGUCCUGCUAAUUCAUUCAUUGAUUCACUCAUCUUUCCCACAGGCAUGUGCUGUGCGUUUACUGUACUGCAUGACACUGUGGAGGUUAUAAAGAAAUAAAAUAUUUGGGGCUUA